ACGCUGGCGGCGUGCUUAACACAUGCAAGUCGAGCGAUGAAGCUUUCUUCGGAAAGUGGAUUAGCGGCGGACGGGUGAGUAACACGUGGGUAACCUGCCUCAUAGAGGGGAAUAGCCUUUCGAAAGGAAGAUUAAUACCGCAUAAGAUUGUAAUAUCGCAUGGUAUAGCAAUUAAAGGAGUAAUCCGCUAUGAGAUGGACCCGCGUCGCAUUAGCUAGUUGGUGAGGUAACGGCUCACCAAGGCGACGAUGCGUAGCCGACCUGAGAGGGUGAUCGGCCACAUUGGGACUGAGACACGGCCCAGACUCCUACGGGAGGCAGCAGUGGGGAAUAUUGCACAAUGGGGGAAACCCUGAUGCAGCAACGCCGCGUGAGUGAUGACGGUCUUCGGAUUGUAAAGCUCUGUCUUUAGGGACGAUAAUGACGGUACCUAAGGAGGAAGCCACGGCUAACUACGUG
rnacentral:rRNA from 1 species